rnacentral:lncRNA from 1 species
AAUGUUGGCAAAGUAAGAUCUACAAAUAAGUCAACAUGACCGAAAUGGUCAGUUGACCCCUUUAGGAGUUAUUGCCCUUUAUAGUCAAUUUUUAACCAUUUUUCGUAAAUCUUAGUUAUCUUUUACAAAAAUCUUCUCCUCUGAAACUACUGGGCCAAGUUCAUUAUAGAUAGAGAUAAUUGUAAGGAGCAAGAAUGUUCAGUAAAGUAAGAUGUACAAACACA